UACGGAGGGGGCUAGCGUUGUUCGGAAUUACUGGGCGUAAAGCGCACGUAGGCGGCUUUGUAAGUUAGAGGUGAAAGCCCGGGGCUCAACUCCGGAAUUGCCUUUAAGACUGCAUCGCUAGAAUUGUGGAGAGGUAAGUGGAAUUCCGAGUGUAGAGGUGAAAUUCGUAGAUAUUCGGAAGAACACCAGUGGCGAAGGCGACUUACUGGACACAUAUUGACGCUGAGGUGGCGAAAGCGUGGGGAGCAAGCAGG
rnacentral:rRNA from 1 species